GUGCUCACUUCGGCAACACAGAUACUAAAAAUGGAACGAUAGAGAGAUUAUUAGCAUGGCCCAUGUGCAAGGAUAACACCCAAAUUCAUGAAGUGUGGGAGAGAGGG